rnacentral:snoRNA from 1 species
UUACCCUCAGGAUCACAACUGGAGAGUUUCCAGUACUCUACCAGUUUUGGCUACAGGAGUGAGAGUCAAGCAGAGGCCUCCUCAUUUCAUUCCUAGCUUGGGCAGUGGUUAGCGAGUGGCAGGCAAUCUGCUACAAGU